rnacentral:rRNA from 1 species
GUCUACGGCCAUGACACCCUGAACAAGCCUGAUAUCUGAUCUCAGAAGUAAAGCAGGGUUAGACCUGGUUAGUACUUGAUGGGAGACUACCUCGGAAGUCUAGGUGCUGUAGGUA